ACAUCCAGAGAACUUAGCAGAGAUGCUUUGGUGCCUUCGGGAACUCUGAGACAGGUGCUGCAUGGCUGUCGUCAGCUCGUGUUGUGAAAUGUUGGGUUAAGUCCCGNAACGAGCGCAACCCUUAUCCUUUGUUGCCAGCGGUUCGGCCGGGAACUCAAAGGAGACUGCCGGUGAUAAACCGGAGGAAGGUGGGGAUGACGUCAAGUCAUCAUGGCCCUUACGGCCAGGGCUACACACGUGCUACAAUGGCGCAUACAAAGAGAAGCGACCUCGCGAGAGCAAGCGGACCUCAUAAGGUGCGUCGUAGUCCGGAUUGGAGUCUGCAACUCGACUCCAUGAAGUCGGAAUCGCUAGUAAUCGUAGAUCAGAAUGCUACGGUGAAUACGUUCCCGGGCCUUGUACACACCGCCCGUCACACCAUGGGAGUGGGUUGCAAAAGAAGUAGGUAGCUUAACCUUCGGGAGGGCGCUUACCACUUUGUGAUUCAUGACUGGGGUGAAGUCGUAACAAGGUAAGCGUAGCGAG
rnacentral:rRNA from 1 species